rnacentral:lncRNA from 1 species
CCCGGGAGUCUGGGGAGCUGGCCCGCACCGCGUGGGUGUAUUUAUGCAAGUGCGAGAGUGUGAAGAAAGCAGUAAAAUCUCCGCGCGAGGCUCUAACGUGACAUAUGUAGACAGGCUGCUUCCCCCACUAUGGAGCCGUCUUCCGCGCCCGGUACAUCUGUUCGGGCGGGAGCUGCACUCCGGCAGCGGGAAGGGAGAGUCACCAGAGCUCGGCCGGCUGGAGGUCACCUGUGACUGCACAGAGUCGACGAGACACUUCUGUUUCUGGUGACAUCCUGUGGCCUUGGCUGCCUCGGUUGGUGUGUAUACGAACAUGAAAAGAGUUCAAGUUCUAAAAAUGGAAGUUUCUGUUCUGACUUUCACAUGGUUCACAGACAAGUUGAAACAGACCAAGAAAAAACUGCAAAGAGGAUCAGAUGUGAACAUUCCAGGGCCCGCUUCCCUGUCCUGGGGUUCUUACUCUCCGUUCCCUUUUUAUUCUCACUCCCUCCUGUACCUUCAAUUGCCGGCUAACAAGCUCCAUUUCUGAUAACAGAUGCCUGACAAAGAAAGAGAAAUAAGACAUUAAAAAAAGAGGGAGGCUGGUGCGGGGGUGGGGACUGCUGAGUUCACUGCCAACAGCGCUUUACGGGAACGUGCUCGCCUUGGCUCUGCACCAACGCAAGGGAAAGAACAGGGCGGGGGCGAGGCGCCUUUGUCUUCAAACUCCUGAUGAAAUAUAGGGUUAAUAUUAGCGAUUAUUAUUAAAAUUAGCCAAA